rnacentral:rRNA from 1 species
UACAGAGGUCUCAAGCGUUGUUCGGAUUCAUUGGGCGUAAAGGGUGCGCAGGCGGCGAGGCAGGUCGGACGUGAAAUCCCGGGGCUUAACCCCGGAACUGCGUUCGAUACUGCCUUGCUUGAGGACUGGAGAGGAGACUGGAAUUCCUGGUGUAGCAGUGAAAUGCGUAGAUAUCAGGAGGAACGCCAAUGGCGAAGGCAAGUCUCUGGACAGUUCCUGACGCUCAUGCACGAAGGCCAGGGGAGCAAACGGG